CCUAAUCACAGAAAUCGUAACUUCCCCCAAUAUUAACGAUUCAAUUUCUCUGGCGAACAAUCUCCAAUUCUCCAGCAACAGCAACGAAUCUCCAAUUCUCAAGACACGCUCCGGAGACGAUGUUGACUGUGAUCAGAGACUUUGAAGAGCCAUAAGGAGGAGCAUCCCAUAAGGAGCGUCAGUUUCCUCAGCACCAUGGGGUGAACAAGAGAGUAAUGGUUUAAGUGAAAAUCGAUCCGUACAAGUUCGCUUCUUCCGAUCAGGAGGAUGAACGGAUCGUCCAAGUUCAACAAGCUCUGAUGUGUCCCGACGGUGGAAGAUUCAAAGGUCUUCGAACGGCACGGUUCCUUAAUUAUACCACCACCUCCGGCGUCUACGAUGCGAUCAUGGAUUUGGUGGAGAUAUGGUACAUCAAGACUAACUCGUUUGUGUUCCCUUGAGGCUUAAGUUCUUCUCUACCACAACAUACACAUUCUUAGAUACUUGAUUGUCAUCUCUACCAAGACUUGUAUUCCUCCCAUAAACCUGAGUUUCAGAAGAAGAGUCAUCACCAUUACGGCCUAAGGUGGUCUAAAAGCUGAAUUGGCGGUAGGAACCCUUAUUGCAGCCAGUCUCGUUCAGGUUUCAAUGAUAUCCCAGUCCAUGUGAGAGUACAGACUUGCACUACUAUCACGUAUGACUCAAAUCCUGGUUUCAUUUAUAAUCCCUUGUUUAUAUAGAAGCCUUGUCUAUUAUGUGGAAACUAUAGAAUGAGAAACUAAUCUGUGUUUUCUCCCAGCUUGCGUUAUUCACAAAAAGAGAGAUUGACUUACCUGGGUGUAUUAGAAUCAGAAUUGUUUGUUUUAGAGACUUUCACAAGUUCCGUUUCAAGUCCUAUCUUUUUUUUGUGAUUCUGACUCAGAAGUUUUGGAUUUAACCUGCAGGAUUAUGGCAUCGAUAAGCAGUGAGUAAUAAUAAAAGAUUUGUAACUGAUAAUAAUCUAUUUCCUUAGUUUGGCUGUUGAAUGCUUAUGUCAGUAGUUUUUGGUACACUGACUCUUAAAAUUUUUCUAGCAAGCAAUUUUCUGUUGGUGCAUAGAGCAAGAUCCUCUUUAUUCUUUAUUCUAAUGCUAUUUGAAUUUAAUUAUCUCUUUUAACUUCAGGUGCAACUAAGCAGUUAGAUAACCAUAAUUUUUCAGGCUUUGUCAAUUCUUGUAGUUCUCAAGCUGUAAAACUGGAUUUUAUAGCAUUGAUCACUGGAUUUUGUUAAUCUUUUGUAGUUUGCUCGGUACUAGAGAUAUUAGAGGUAGAGAAUCGGAUUUGUUGUCUCGUUGAAUAUUUGUUAUGUCUUUGAAGAGUUACAUAUUUCAUCGUAGGUACGAUUGAGAUGGUAUGAUUAUCUUUGGUAUUUGGUAUGGUAGAUUGAAAUUACGCUUGUGAAGUCGGAGAAGUUUGAUGAACUAAUGGCUGCAGCUAGUGAAGAAAAAGAAGCUGCAAAAGCUCAGGUGUAGAGCUGAACAUAGAAGUUUCAUGAUCUGACUUCUUUCAUCUUGAUGUUUAUAUAUUCUGACAAGUACUUGAUCUGUUUUAUUUCAUUAAUUUUUGGUUAAAUUUGAGAUGUUAUCUUGGAUGUUUUGUUUUAUCUAUAAUGAGUUUUUUACAAAACAAAAAGAAAAAAAAAA